AUGGGCGACGCUGCGCUGAUGAUUGUGCCAUGCAACGAAAGGAAUAGUUUCAACAACCUGACAGGAGAUACGCUGAAGUUUAAGGCAAACAAACGGACGUACACCGUCAACUGUCACAAGGGGCCUAGAGAGGGUGCAAUGUAUGGGAGUGAGUGGAGGAAGUUUGUUUCAGACAACAAGUUGGGGAAGGGUCAGCUGGUUCUCUUCUACUUGGACCAGCCUUCCCCAAGGGCAGUUGUCUGUGUGAUUCAAUUCGGGAAUGACACUGAAGAUGAAGGAUCCAAGGAUGAUGAUGACUACAUGGAAGUUUCAGAUGAAGAAGACGAGGAUGGAGAAGCCAACAACAAACCAUGA
rnacentral:rRNA from 1 species